rnacentral:tRNA from 1 species
UAGCUCAGUUGGUAGAGCAUGGCACUUGCAAUGCCAGGGUUGUGGGUUCGAUUCCCAC